UACGUAGGGUGCGAGCGUUGUCCGGAAUUAUUGGGCGUAAAGAGCUCGUAGGCGGUCUGUCGCGUCGGCUGUGAAAACCCGGAGCUCAACUCCGGGCCUGCAGUCGAUACGGGCAGACUGGAGUUCGGCAGGGGAGACUGGAAUUCCUGGUGUAGCGGUGAAAUGCGCAGAUAUCAGGAGGAACACCGGUGGCGAAGGCGGGUCUCUGGGCCACUACUGACGCUGAGAAGCGAAAGCAUGGGGAGCGAACAGG
rnacentral:rRNA from 1 species